rnacentral:rRNA from 1 species
GCGACCCCAGGACGGGCGAGA